rnacentral:rRNA from 1 species
AAUCGCGCAUCAGCCAUGGCGCGGUGAAUACGUUCCCGGGCCUUGUACACACGCCCGUCAAGCCAUGGAAGCCGGGAGUGCCUGAAGUAUGCAACCGCAAGGAGCGUCCUAAGGCAAUACCGGUGACUGGGGCUAAGUCGUAACAAGGUAAC